UCCGUAGGUGAACCUGCGGAAGGAUCAUUACCGAGUGAGGGCCCUCUGGGUCCAACCUCCCACCCGUGUUUAUUUUACCUUGUUGCUUCGGCGGGCCCGCCUUAACUGGCCGCCGGGGGGCUUACGCCCCCGGGCCCGCGCCCGCCGAAGACACCCUCGAACUCUGUCUGAAGAUUGAAGUCUGAGUGAAAAUAUAAAUUAUUUAAAACUUUCAACAACGGAUCUCUUGGUUCCGGCAUCGAUGAAGAACGCAGCGAAAUGCGAUACGUAAUGUGAAUUGCAAAUUCAGUGAAUCAUCGAGUCUUUGAACGCACAUUGCGCCCCCUGGUAUUCCGGGGGGCAUGCCUGUCCGAGCGUCAUUGCUGCCCUCAAGCCCGGCCUGUGUGUUGGGCCCCGUCCCCCGAUCUCCGGGGGACGGGCCCGAAAGGCAGCGGCGGCACCGCGUCCGGUCCUCGAGCGUAUGGGGCUUUGUCACCCGCUCUGUAGGCCCGGCCGGCGCUUGCCGAUCAACCCAAAUUUUUAUCCAGGUUGACCUCGGAUCAGGUAGGGAUACCCGCUGAACUUAAGCAUAUCAAUAAGCGGAGGA
rnacentral:rRNA from 1 species